rnacentral:rRNA from 1 species
UACGUAGGGGGCAAGCGUUGUCCGGAAUCAUUGGGCGUAAAGAGCGUGUAGGCGGUCCGGUCAGUCGGUUGUGAAAGUCAAGGGCUCAACCCUUGAAUGCCGGCCGAUACUGCCGGGCUAGAGUCCGGAAGAGGAGUGUGGAAUUCCUGGUGUAGCGGUGAAAUGCGCAGAUAUCAGGAGGAACACCAAUGGCGAAGGCAGCACUCUGGGACGUGACUGACGCUGAGACGCGAAAGCGUGGGGAGCAAACAGG